rnacentral:rRNA from 1 species
AUUGUUUUUAUCACCCUUGUCUUUUGCGCACUUGUUGUUUCCUGGGCGGGUUCGCCCGCCACCAGGACCACACCAUAAACCUUUUUUAUGCAGUUGCAAUCAGCGUCAGUAUAACUAAUGUAAAUCAUUUACAACUUUCAACAACGGAUCUCUUGGUUCUGGCAUCGAUGAAGAACGCAGCGAAAUGCGAUACGUAGUGUGAAUUGCAGAAUUCAGUGAAUCAUCGAAUCUUUGAACGCACAUUGCGCCCUUUGGUAUUCCAAAGGGCAUGCCUGUUCGAGCGUCAUUUGUACCCUCAAGCUUUGCUUGGUGUUGGGCGUCUUUUUGUCUUUGGCUUUGCCCCAAGACUCGCCUUAAAACGAUUGGCAGCCGGCCUACUGGUUUCGCAGCGCAGCACAUUUUUGCGCUUGCAAUCAGCAAAAGAGGACGGCACUCCAUCAAGACUACAUUUUUUUACGUUUGACCUCGGAUC